GAUGAAGAACGUAGCGAAAUGCGAUACUUGGUGUGAAUUGCAGAAUCCCGUGAACCAUCGAGUCUUUGAACGCAAGUUGCGCCCGAAGCCAUUAGGCCGAGGGCACGCCUGCCUGGGCGUCACACGUCGUUGCCCCCCCAUCUACUCCUUCGGGAUUGCGGGGGGCGGAUGAUGGCCUCCCGUGCGCCUCGUCGCGCGGUUGGCAUAAAUGCCAAGUCCUCGGCGACGCACGCCACGACAAUCGGUGGUUGCGAAACCUCGGUUGCCCGUCGUGUGCGGUCGUCGCGCAUCGAGGGCUCGAAAAAAUUGCCGGGCUCCGGCUCGGCUUUCAACGCGACCCCAGGUCAGGUGGGGUUACCCGCUGAAUUUAAGCAUAUCAAUAAGCGGAGGA
rnacentral:misc_RNA from 1 species